CAUUUUCUCGUUUUUCUCCUCCCCUCUAUGAGGAAACUGUGUGUCUGAAAAAAUACAAGAUUUGUUCUUCUGUGAUAGAUAUGGUUUUGUUAUUAAACCGUGGAGACGAAGAAUAAAAAGGUGAAGUAUAAACAGAAGUCAGAGAAUCGGUAAGAUUCGACAAACCCUAACCUUUUUUUUUCGUUGUUUAGAGCUGUUUUUUUUAUAUGUUUGAAUAGAUAAUCCAAUAUAUGAUGGAUACUGUGAAAAUAGUUUUUAUUUAUUUAGUUUUGUUUUUCUGUUUAAAAACAAAUAUUAUCUCAUUUUCUUCUUUACAUAUUUAGUCCAUUUUAUAAGUGAUUAAGGUUUUAAUUCGAAGAUUUUAUGUAAUUAGGGCUUUGUUUUGGGGAUUUUUAUUAUCUAGUAGGAUUUCAAUUUGGAGAGUUCUGUCGAUUUUCUGUAAUUAGUGUUUCAGUUGGGGAUUUUCUGAAUAUGAAUGGUUGAUUUUCUGUAGUUAGGGUUUAAAUUGAGAUUUUCUGUAUAUGAACGGUUGAUUUUAUGUAAUUAGGGUUUAAAUUGGUAUAUGAAUGGUUGAUUUUAUGUAUAUGAAAUUUCAAGUAGACUAGUUUUUGUUACUAAAGUUUGCGCGUGUAGAGAACAUGUUGUCAGUCAUGAGUCGAGUUCAUACUGACUCACUGUUCCAACUCGGAAAGAUCCAACUGAUUCAGGGGCUAAAAUAUCUUUUUUGACAUACUCGAUUUAGUGCCACAUGUUAUGUAACGGCCGUUAGCCAAUUUUUUUCUCGAAAAAAUGGGACGAAAAAGGUCAAUAGAUGGGAUCAAAAAAAUUAUGAAAAAAAUGUGCGCAUUUUAUUAACACGGGCAUUUUUUUAAUUUCCCCAUGUUUUAUUAAAAGAUAAGAUUUCUGCAAACUUAGGGAUAUAUUUUAAGUUUGAAAGGGUAUUUUUAAUGGCCUCAUAUUAGGGAUGUAUAGACAAUGUUACCUUUUGUGUUUAAGUCACGGGCCUUAAAUAAAACCUUCUGGUCUCAAACUAGUAGGAGUGGUCAAAAACACCCACAUCCACAGAUUUUAUCCAAACCAAUCCGCAUUAUAGCUGGUGGACACCAAUUUGUUUCUCGGCGGAUUGGGUGCAGUUGAAUUUUUAAAACCGAUCGUUUUCACGGUUGGAUGUGGGUGGUAUAUCACCAAUCCGUUGGACACCCAAUCCAAAGGAGAGUUUUGGUGUUACAUCAAAAUAUGAAGGAUAAGCUAGAACGUGAACAAGGUACUUACAUUUAGAAGCCAUAGAAAUAAAUAUGAUCAGAAUGAGAGAGAGGGACAACAUUCAGGAUACUAUGGACUCAGUAUGCAUGAUCAUUAUUCAUUCUUUGUCGGUGUUUACUAUACAAAGUAUUAAUAUUAGUCUUUUGUAAUAUAUUUUGAAAUCCUCCAAUCCACCCUCAUCCACCUUGUUCAUCCAUUCACCCAUUAGGUAAUGGGAUGGGUGUGGAUGCAUUUCUAAUAUCCGUCAUUUUCAUGGAUUAGACACGGGUGGUAUCUGUAGUUGUAAGAAGUAAUACAUUCAACAUCUAACAUUCAAGAUGAAGAGAUUGCAAGAUAAGCAAGUAAAGAGACACAUAAGAACACAAGACAUACGUGGUUCGGCAUGAUUACCUACAUCCGCGGGUUAAAAGGAUGAUCUUAUUAUUUCUUUCAAGUUACAAAGAUAAAAGCUCUCUACACUAUUUAGUCUCUCUCCUUACUCACUCACAAAUCACUUUCCUUUCUCUCAAUGCAACGGUGUAUAUUUAUAGGCUAAGAUGCAUAUACAUAAAAAUUACAGUGUUGGUUUUAUUCUAUCAAUUCUGAUUGUCCUAUCGGAGGGUUGCCAGUGUCUGCUCCAGAUACUUAACACUCGGUUCUAUACUCUCCCGAAGAAUAGAUCUCCCGAUAUGUCUUCGCUUGGCACAAAAUCCCUUCCGAAGUAGAUUCACUACCCGACCCGAUAGUGUUAUCUUUUUGUCUUCGGGCCUACCAUGAUUCGACCCUUCUGCUUCUCGCGCGUGCUCUGUCAGCUGUAUUCAAUGCCUUGUCCCCUGAUUCAAAUUUCACCGUUGGAUAUAGCCUCAGCUUUACACGUGUCUUCUUCUUAAUUGAGUGUGUUAUAUAUCUCUUUUACCGUUUCAAGACUCGGAAUGAUUCCGUUCUUCAUCCUAAUCAUUCUUUUAGUGUGUCAUAUAUUACGAUGGUGCCACCUACAUCUGUCAAUUAAAUUUUAUUACAGUAUCAAAUCCGCACCCACCCACCUAUUGCUCACUUCAUCAACUAGUUGAAGUACCAGUAGGAUCUCCAUGACUAUGAUAUUCGACUGCCAUCGGGAUAGAAGGGUCUCUUGAAAAAUGAAAAGUUUGAUGAGUUCGACCAUUCUCCCGUAGCGACAAUCAUCACCAAAGGUCGGCUCGAACUCGGUCUUUUUCUUCCUCUAUGAUCCGAGCCAACCAUUUCCUUGUGAAGUUCUAUCUCAGCUUCAUCCUCCUCGGGCUCUAGGUCAGUGGCAUGGCAACAAUUUUCGCCUCAUGGCUGAUUGGGACAGGAGAAGAAGGGGUGAGUGCUCCAAUACCGAGUGGUCUACAUAUGAUCCUUCCCACGUGAGCAAGUAUACUUGCGCCAUUUUCUUGGGUAACUACCGAAGUGGCACUUCUUCUCUUGGUGAUCUGGCCAAUUUUUCGGCAUAACCUCAUCGCCUUAGGGUUUCAUCUGUCGGGUUUGAUAAAUUGAUGUUGGAAGAGGAUCCUGAAGGAGGUACCAACACUAACGAUCAUGCUCGCUACACCAACGAUUCUUCUUGGCACCGGGUACCUUUAGCUGUCAGAGAUUCGAUUCUAAGUGGAAAGUUCCCUCCUACCUCUUUUCCUGCUGAUCCCUACCUUUUCUAGAUAGCUAAUACUGAUCAAACUCAAAGUACUCGAAAGAGGGGCCCUGAUAAUAAGGCUGAGGAAGAGCCAGUGAAGAUCGAAGACUGGAGAAAAAGGCGUAUAAAACUCUCCCGGAAAAGGUGGUUAGGAUUCUGAUGAUCGGCUUCCAUUAUCUCGGUUCAUACCAAAAAAGUUGGUAAAGAAGAAGAAUUUUGACGUCCCGUAUACCAUUGUAGGUGAUAAAACUAAGAAAGGAGGUAAAGGAUCUAAGGGUGGUAAGGGUGCCCCUGCUGGAAGUUCUGGGAAGAACGUGCCCCAUCUCCAAUCGUCCGGAACGAAGUCGUCGGGUCAGCCACCCACCGCCUCUAAGUCAAAGCUUAUUGUGGUGCUUUCUGAUGAUGAUAGAGAGAACGAUGAACUCAUCGGAUCGGAUACUGAGGUAGAUGGAUCAGGCGAAGGAGAGGAAGAAAAACAGAAACAAGCCGAAAUUUCCUCAGGAGAUGUGAACGGUCAAGCCUCUCGGAAGACCGAACAUGUUGAAAGUAUCGAAAGGGAUCCUCCUUCUCCUGGGAACAAAGGCUUGGUUGGUGGUUCAGUCUUCUCCUUAUCUGGUGCUGCUUGUGAUUCGUUUGGUGCUCUUGCCUCUUCUAGUUUCACCUCACUCACUGUUAUCGAGAUGUUACAGGUUUUGCCUCUAUAUGGUCCUUCCAUGAAGGAAUCCCUGAAU